CCUACGGGUGGCAGCAGUGGGGAAUAUUGGACAAUGGGCGAAAGCCUGAUCCAGCCAUGCCGCGUGUGUGAAGAAGGCCUUCGGGUUGUAAAGCACUUUCAGUGGGGAAGAAAGCCUUGGGGCUAAUACCCUCGAGGAAGGACAUCACCCACAGAAGAAGCACCGGCUAACUCCGUGCCAGCAGCCGCGGUAAUACGGAGGGUGCGAGCGUUAAUCGGAAUUACUGGGCGUAAAGCGCGCGUAGGCGGUCUGAUAAGCCGGUUGUGAAAGCCCCGGGCUCAACCUGGGAACGGCAUCCGGAACUGUCAGGCUAGAGGGCAGGAGAGGAAGGUAGAAUUCCCGGUGUAGCGGUGAAAUGCGUAGAGAUCGGGAGGAAUACCAGUGGCGAAGGCGGCCUUCUGGACUGACACUGACGCUGAGGUGCGAAAGCGUGGGUAGCAAACAGGAUUAGAUACCCGGGUAGUC
rnacentral:rRNA from 1 species